rnacentral:rRNA from 1 species
UAGGGAAUCUUCGGCAAUGGACGGAGGUCUGACCGAGCAACGCCGCGUGAGUGAAGAAGGUUUUUCGGAUCGUAAAGCUCUGUUGUAAGAGAAGAACGAGUGUGAGAGUGGAAAGUUCACACUGUGACGGUAUCUUACCAGAAAGGGACUUGCUAACUACGUGCCAGCAGCCGCGGUAAUACGUAGGUCCCGAGCGUUGUCCGGAUUUAUUGGGCGUAAAGCGAGCGCAGGCGGUUAGAUAAGUCUGAAGUUAAAGGCUGUGGCCUAACCAUAGUACGCUUUGGAAACUGUUUAACUUGAGUGCAAGAGGGGAGAGUGGAAUUCCAUGUGUAGCGGUGAAAUGCGUAGAUAUAUGGAGGAACACCGGUGGCGAAAGCGGCUCUCUGGCUUGUAACUGACGCUGAGGCUCGAAAGCGUGGGGAGCAAACAGGAUUAGAUACCCUGGUAGUCCACGCUGUAAACGAUGAGUGCUAGGUGUUAGACCCUUUCCGGGGUUUAGUGCCGCAGCUAACGCAUUAAGCACUCCGCCUGGGGAGUACGACCGCAAGGUUG